rnacentral:snoRNA from 1 species
UUUUUAAGGUAAAACUUUAAACUUUGGGAACAUUGAAACAGGCUAAGAAAAAAUAAUUGGAUAGGAAAUAUUACUCUAUUCAUUUAUCUCCUCAUGCCUACAAAA